rnacentral:rRNA from 1 species
GACGAACGCUGGCGGCGUGCUUAACACAUGCAAGUCGAACGGAAAGGCCCUGCUUGCAGGGUACUCGAGUGGCGAACGGGUGAGUAACACGUGGGUGAUCUGCCCUGCACUUCGGGAUAAGCCUGGGAAACUGGGUCUAAUACCGGAUAGGAGCCAUUUUUAGUGUGAUGGUUGGAAAGUUUUUUCGGUGUAGGAUGAGCUCGCGGCCUAUCAGCUUGUUGGUGGGGUAAUGGCCUACCAAGGCGGCGACGGGUAGCCGGCCUGAGAGGGUGGACGGCCACAUUGGGACUGAGAUACGGCCCAGAAUCCGACGGGAGGCAGCAGUGGGGAAUAUUGCACAAUGGGCGCAAGCCUGAUGCAGCGACGCCGCGUGGGGGAUGACGGCCUUCGGGUUGUAAACUCCUUUCGCUAGGGACGAAGCUUUUUGUGACGGUACCUAGAGAAGAAGCACCGGCUAACUACGUG